CAAUCGUGUCAAACUUCAAGAAUGCCUUAUACAAGGCAGUGUUUUGAAUGAAGCACUGGAUAAAUUGUUAGAUAGACUGCAGGGUUUGUGCGGAGUCCCAAGUGGUGACAGUUUUUGUUACCUUGAAAGAGUUUACUCAAAAUCUGCUUCUACGGAUGAAAACUUAAAAGAAAAAAGAUCGUAUAGUUCUACAAUAACCACAGUUGAAGGUGUAAUCAUAAACACUUUUAUAGGCUUGCACUUGUACUUUUACUUUAGAAUCUUGUAAACAAACUUUUACGGUUGUUGUUAAGUUAAGAAAGUAUAAUCCCUUUGUUGAAUCCUCCUCAAAGUGGCAAAUUAUUUACUCUGGGGAGAUCCUUGAACAACCUUUUAGACCUCUUUUACUAGUUGAUGACAUAGAAAGUGAUUCGGAUUUGGAUCAAUUUUUAUCGGAUUUAGGAAUGCGUUUGCAAUAUGAAUAUUAUGGAGAAGGUCUCGUCUUUGACUAUCUUCGAACAGAUCCUCUGAGUGUGUACGUAACGAAAAUUAAAAAGUUUGAAUUUCCUGGGGAUUAUGAUAGUUUAACUGAAAUCACAGACUCAUAUCUGGUUGAAAUUUCGUCUUUGUGUUAUUCUCAGAAUCUUGAAAGCGCUAAGAAAGCUGUCGAGACUUUUGCUUCUAAUUUGCAACCGUUCGUCUUAAAUUUAAUUUUUGAGUUUGCCGUCUUGUCGUUCGAUAAUUUUAGGAUCGUCGUCGUGAAGCACGUGAACCAAAGGCUUAUUAUAAAUCGGGACGUAUAACUGCUUUCAUUUUUUAUAUAACUGUCAUGAUCAUGUGAGAUACAGAUUUAUAUAAAAUCGAAAUGUAUCAAGAUCUAGAGCUGCUUAGCUGCGUUAUCUUUGCUCAUAAAAAAUAAAUUACAAAAUUUAAAAGUUUAAAAGAGCCGUU